rnacentral:rRNA from 1 species
AGAGUUUGAUCAUGGCUCAGGAUGAACGCUAGCGACAGGCCUAACACAUGCAAGUCGAGGGGCAUCGGGACGUAGCAAUACGUUGCCGGCGACCGGCGGAUGGGUGAGUAACGCGUAUGCAACCUACCCGUAGCAGGGGGAUAGCCCGUUGAAAGACGGAUUAAUACCCCGUAACACAGGGGCUCCGCAUGGAGAUUAUUGUUAAAGGGUCAUUUCUUUUAGAGGUGGUCCGGCUACGGAUGGGCAUGCGUUCCAUUAGGUAGUUGGUGUAGGUAACGGCUCACCAAGCCGACGAUGGAUAGGGGAACUGAGAGGUUGGUCCCCCACACUGGUACUGAGACACGGACCAGACUCCUACGGGAGGCAGCAGUGAGGAAUCUUGGUCAAUGGACGCAAGUCUGAACCAGCCAUGUCGCGUGAAGGAGGACGGCCCUAAGGGUUGUAAACUUCUUUUGCAGCGGAAUAAAGUUUGCCACGAGUUGGCGAUUUGCAAGUACGCUGCGAAUAAGGAUCGGCUAACUCCGUGCCAGCAGCCGCGGUAAUACGGAGGAUCCGGGCGUUAUCCGGAUUUAUUGGGUUUAAAGGGUGCGCAGGCGGGGAAUUAGGUCGGCGGUGAAAUUUCGGGGCUCAACCUCGACAGUGCCGUUGAAACCGUUUCUCUUGAGUGCGGAUGAGGUAGGCGGAAUUUGUGGUGUAGCGGUGAAAUGCGUAGAUAUCACAAGGAACACCGAUUGCGGAGGCAGCUUACUAAACCGUUACUGACGCUCAUGCACGAAGGCGUGGGGAUCAAACAGGAUUAGAUACCCUGGUAGUCCACGCAGUAAACGAUGAUUACUUGCUGUUUGCGAUACACAGUAAGCGGCGAAGCGAAAGCGUUAAGUAAUCCACCUGGGGAGUACGUUCGCAAGAAUGAAACUCAAAGGAAUUGACGGGGCCCGCACAAGCGGAGGAACAUGUGGUUUAAUUCGAUGAUACGCGAGGAACCUUACCGGGCUUGAAUGCAUUCGACGGGU